rnacentral:rRNA from 1 species
GAUGAACGCUAGCGGCAGGCUUAACACAUGCAAGUCGAGGGGUAUAGGUUUUCGGACCUAGAGACCGGCGCACGGGUGCGUAACGCGUAUGCAAUCUACCUUUCACAGAGGGAUAGCCCAGAGAAAUUUGGAUUAAUACCUCAUAGUAUAGCAGUUUCGCAUGAAACCACUAUUAAAGUUCCAACGGUGAAAGAUGAGCACUGCGUCCCAUUAGCUAGAUGGUAAGGUAACGGCUUACCAUGGCUACGCUGGGUAGGGGUCCUGAGAGGGAGAUCCCCCACCCUGGUACUGAGACACGGACCAGACUCCUACGGGAGGCAGCAGGGAGGAAUAUUGGUCAAUGGACGCAAGUCUGAACCAGCCAUGCCGCGUGCAGGAUGACGGUCCUAUGGAUUGUAAACUGCUUUUGUACGAGAAGAAACAACAUUACGUGUAAUGUCUUGACGGUAUCGUAAGAAUAAGGAUCGGCUAACUCCGUGCCAGCAGCCGCGGUAACAC